AGCGCAACCUGGGAGCUCCGAGGACGGCUUUUUCCCGCUUGCCCUUGCGGGGGCGGUGCGGCCUACUUGCUGUGGUCCGGGCUGGGUCCUGGUUCCCCCGGGGCCCCUGGGGUUGCCUAUUGGUGGUUGCUCAGCAGGCCGUGGGUUUGAGAAACGACCCGGGCGUGAGUGAUUUAACCACUCGGUUCCAAAAUUAGUCAGCCGUGCCCGCAGGUCGACGCAGAGCCCGGGCGCAUUGCCCGGGCUCCAUCCCCUGGACUUUCCCUUCUGGGCCUGGCGCGGCGGCGGCGGCCUCACGUGCUGCACUCUCGAGCCUGGGGCCGAGGCCGCCUCGGCCCACGCUCUCUGCACAGCCGUCCUCGGCCCGGGGCCUACGGUGGGCCCCGCAGCCCGCGGGAGAUAAGGGGCCAGAGCUCCGACCCCAGGACUCUGGCCCCCUGGUGCACCUGCACAGCCCUUCGGACGCCGCGUGGGCAGGUCUUCCCAUAAACAUCUGGUGAUCCCUGGCUGCCUUAAGAUUUCUUCCAAGAUUCCCCAAGAGCUGGUGGGCAGACUCUAUGUGCACACAUGCGGCUGCUCCCCCAGGGUUCUCAAAGCUGAGCUCAGUGCCAAGCAGCAGGAGCUGCCCCAUAUUCUCCCUUCUACCCUGCAGAGAACCUGCUCAGAAGAUCCAGAGCUCAGCUACAGUGGGGCUAAACAGCACUGCACCAAUGAACUCGAGCACCCAGCCACCCUGAGAAAGAUGGUUUUGAGAGGAAAACACAUUAUUUUUUCUAAACAGCAACUUAGAAAUAAAAUUUUGGACCAUGUCCUGCUUGCAAACUGAGGUUCAAUUCUCCUAUAAUGGGCCAGCUCUGGUCGUGCUGAGAGAGAAGGGCCAUUAGCAGAAAUGAAAAACAAGAAAAAUCUUUCAGUCCAUUAGGUUAAAAGAGGAUUUUUCUGUCCUUUAUUAUUUAUUAUUUGUGACUUCAGUUACUGUUUCCUGGAACAAAUGUUAUGGUUCUACUUCAGUGUCUAUUUACUGAAGCAAAUAGAUGCUUAUCAGCCGUCAGGCUACAAAUUGCUAAGCAGUCUGUAAGGGCUUUGCUGCUGUGGCCUCUUGCAGUUCUUUGAUGUCUUGUAAGGCAACUUAUUUUCUGUGCCUCAGACAGUUUCCAAAAUGACUGCAAUCAUGCAUGUGUGUGUAUGUGUUGAAUGUUUAAAUAAAAAAUUAUUACCAUAAAAGACACAUUGCCAUUUGUCCCCCUUAAAAUACUCCCUUUUGCUUUGAACACACUUAUCCCAUCAUUCUUGCCACUUUCCGAAGCAGUUCUAGAAGUCCUCCUUGUGUGUCUUUACUAGGUGUGAUCAGAAAUAAAGUGAAUGCUGCUGCCAAGUGCCAUCCAAGGAAAAAGCAGGUUCAUAAAACAUUUGGGUGUGUCCUCAUCUACCCUAUUCACUGGAUCCGGCACUGUGCCACCUCUGGCUCUUUUUAAAAAUAUUUAUUUAUGUAUUUAAAAAAAUUUUUUUUAAUUUUUUGGUACUGGGGAUCGAACUUGGGUCCUUGCACUUUCGAGGCAGGCAGCAGAACCACUGAGCUAAAUCCCUGGCCCCAAAAAUAUUUAUUUUUAAAGUACUGGGGAUUAAACUCAGGACCUUUGCACUGAGCUACAUCCCCACACCUCUUAUUCCUAGAGUGCUGGGAUUACAGAUGUGUACCACUACACCCAACUGACUUUUGGCUCUUCCCCAAAGUCAAAAUGACCAUGAAAGGUAAAGGCUUCAAAUUGAUUCAGGAUAUAGAGACAACCACAAUAGCACAACUAAAGACACUCACAAAAGAGGACUUGUAGAACUGCUUCAGAAAGUGCCAAGAACAACGGAAUACAUGUGUGUGAAAUGAAGGAGAAUAUUUUUUCUUUUUGAGACAGGGUCUCACUAUGCAGUCAGGCUGACCUUGAACUCAUUAUAUAGUUCAGGAUAAUCAUUCAGCCUCAGCCUCCUGAGUGCUGGGAUUACAGGUGUCCACUACCACAGCAAGCGGCUAUGUGUCUUUUACUGUAAUUUCAAAAACCAUUCACUAUAUUUUAGAUCACACCUCACACACAUACAUAGGAAUCUAUACCUAUACCUGUAAUAUGUCUAUAUAUUAUAUAUGUUGCAUUUGAAUGCAUUUAACUGCAAGAACUGAGCAAAGGCAGACUUAGUUUUUACUUUAAAAAUGUCACAGGAGUUAGCAGUCCCCAGAGUCCCCAGUAUAUAGGAGGACGUGGGCAGAAGCUAAGCAAGCACUCUGGGAGGAAGAAAGCCCGUCAGGGGCUGUGUGGCCACGGGAGGAUGUCGUGAUUCCCCCAUGCGAAUUCCCCAGCCGCUGUUUCAGGACCACACCGCG
rnacentral:lncRNA from 1 species